rnacentral:lncRNA from 1 species
AAAUAAUCAUAUAGUUAUCCUUGGGCGAUCUUGGAUCUUAAUUAGUACACUCAUGUUCUCUGUGGAAAAUCGAUACUCUGGAAUACUCCCGGGUGAAGGCUACAUCGGUAUCCGUGCACUUGCGGAUUUUUCUGUUUGCGUUUAAAAUACCCAACAUUGAGUCAUUUGGAACUCAUGCACGUCGAUCAGAAGUCUUUGAGAAAAUGAUGGGUGCAUGUGGGCCACUUAAUUCAGGAGGUUCUGCCACAGCUGG